rnacentral:rRNA from 1 species
AGUGAACGCUGGCGGCGUGCCUAAUACAUGCAAGUCGAACGGAGUGGCGCACGGGUGAGUAAUGUAUAGCUAAUCAGCCCUACACUAGAGGCCAACAGGUGGGAACAGCUGCUAAUACUCGUUAGUGUAGGAUGAGGCGAUAUUGUAUCAGCUAGGUGGUGAGGUAAUGGCUCACCAAGGCUAUGACGCAUAACUGGUCUGAGAGGAUGAUCAGUCACACUGGAACUGAGACACGGUCAAGACUUCUACGGGAGGGAGCAGAAGGGUAUAAUGCUCACUGGGGGAAACCCUGAAGCAGCUACGCCGCGUGGAGGAUGACACUUUUCGGAGCGUAAACUCCUUUUGUUAGGGAAGCGGUACCUAACGAAUAAGCAACGGCUAACUCCGUGCCAGCCGCCGCGGUAAUAC